rnacentral:rRNA from 1 species
UAGCGUAGGGGGCGUAGCGUUGUCCGGAAUCAUUGGGCGUAAAGCGCGUGUAGGCGGUCCGGUAAGUCCGCUGUGAAAGUCCAGGGCUCAACCCUGGGAUGCCGGUGGAUACUGUCGGGCUCGAGUCCGGAAGAGGCGAGUGGAAUUCCUGGUGUAGCGGUGAAAUGCGCAGAUAAUCAGGAGGAACACCAAUGGCGAAGGCAGCUCGCUGGGACGUGACUGACGCUGAGACGCGAAAGCGUGGGGAGCAAACAGG